UAAUAAUUUCUAUCGAUCGAUAUCUUAACUGUAACCAAUUAAAAGAUUAGUGUCGUCUGCUCUUGUUUUGUUUUAAAGUUUCGGAGAAAGGGACGACGUUCAAGAUUAGGCUACAAAGAAAACGGAACGAUAACUUUUUGGGAAACGUGUGUGGCUGCACAAAAAAAAGCGUGGAAUAGUAGGCUAUAACUAAUAACAUUACAAAAAUGUGGUGGUCGUUUCGUGUUACUGAUGUCGCGACUCUCAAUGCUCUCCACGAUCUCCACUCGCUGUUUUUGGCGGGUAACCCUUUUCUAUGUGCUGAUUUGAGUCCUGAGUCAGCCAUCGUAACAAUCAGAUGUGCAGAUUUUGCUUUUGCUGAUCUGUCAUCAUCCUGGUGGUCACCUGUCAUCAGCAACAAUUUCCGUUUCAUCAUUGCUUGGAUAAUCAGCAUCCCGUUUUAUUGGAGAAACAACCGAUCUCAGUCGAGUUCCGGAUCUCUUCUUCCUCUUUCUUUAAAUCUCUUCUGUGUACAUCCAUGAGAGUGUGGGGGUAAAAUUCAAGAGGACGUCCUUUUCUCGCCUAGUGGAUUCAACUUUUCAGCGAAUGGAUGGAGGACAUGUGGAUGUCUGGCCGUAUUUCUCAGGCAUAAAGCGAAAUUGGCGGGUGGCAUCGACUCAAAUUGAAAGGAGGAGUUUUUCAACGAAGCCAAAGAAAAUACUCAAAUAGAUGGGGAAUUUUGACUUUCAGCUCACAAGGAAUAUAAGAGAAUAAAGGCGGUUGGUAACAAGCCGCACUACAGUCCACAGUCCUUCUCGGCCGUUGCCCAGGCUUUCCUAUAGACUCCACAAGACUAAAUAGGAUUUGCCUAAUCACAUAGUCAAUGGCAACAAACAGCUGGGCAACCAAACUCGUGGGUAAAAGGUCGCGCAGCGCAAACGAUUUCGGUGACAAGUCAAUAAUUGUGCUGUGGGGCGCCGGGAGAGAGCUGCCGCAUUUCAAACGUAUCUUAGCCGCCGCUCUGCUGCUGCUCCUGCUGCUGCUGCAGCUUCGCUCCUUGUUUGAACGUUCGGAGGGGACGAACUGUUUUAUGAUUAUUUUCUACUAGGCCGACUUAUCUCUAUCUCUCUCCUCUCUCUCUCUCUCUCUUUUAGUCUAUUUAGGCCCCUCUCUUAUAUUUUAUUUUUUUCUCCUCCAUGUUUGUUAUUUGGCUGAACUGCUGCUGCUGCUGCGGCGGCCAACGUUGAACGAUAAGGCAUCGCAUCAUCCGACUUAUCGUGACAAACGUCUUGCGUUCAUUUUGUAUGUGCUGUCCCCCUUAAGAUCUCGUCCUCUUUCCUUUAUGGGAUUUAAAUUGAUUUAUGGACCAUUUCGAUGAUACAGAAACAGGUGCCCGUCUUCCUGGCCAACCACUUUUUCUUUUCUUUUGUUUUGAUUUUUUCGACUUUUUCGUGGGGAUUUUGAAAAUUACCCGAAGUUUUUGAAAGUGACACUGAGAGCUAUUUCCAUCUAGCGGUCGAAUAAGUAAACAGAAUAACGCCAUCUGUUGAAAAAGAUUUUCGAAUCUUUCUUUCGCCAUCUAGCAGCGUGAAUAGCGACUGAAUGGGUAGAAGGUGCGGUAUCUCCCAACCGCCUCAACGCUCAAAAUAGAGCUGAUGUCAUGAAAAUUCGAAAGUAGGCAAAAAAAGGUAUCCCAUAUGUGAAAAAAAUAAAUAACCGCACACGCAAAUGCGAUGGCACAAUCUCAAACCACUUGAUCUGUGACAAUGAAAACCCAACGGCUAAUUUGGUUCUAUCCAAAAGUCAACGAUAAACCCGCUCAAAAUAGCGCAAACUAAGAAUCCUUGUCAACAAUAAAGAUAGUU
rnacentral:lncRNA from 1 species